GCUGUGUGGUGAGCCGGCACGCACCCAACUUCAUGUGCCUCACCCUGGGCAGGGGUCAGCUCACAUGGCAGUGGUGAGUGUUGCAGGUGUUGGAGAGAGGAAGAAAGUCUUUAGGCUGCCAUUAUUUGAAAACUACAUCAUGAUUUCACCAUCUAUACACUGAGGUUGCAGAUUCUAGGUAAGUGUCAGACACCUCCUCUACUC
rnacentral:lncRNA from 1 species